rnacentral:misc_RNA from 1 species
UGAGCAAUCGAGGUGGCGUCCCUCUGGCGGGCUCAAUUUGUGUCGCAACUUGUUUUAGAUGGCUACAUGAGGUUAUUUGCAGCCCAGGACGAUCACUAAUUGCACGGUAAGAGCAGCAAAGCGCGUACGCAGCAAUUCGGCUGGCCGCUGACAGGUGAACCCAAGAUGUGACUAACCCAAGAUGUGACUAAAUAAAGGCAUAUUGGCUGGGGAGAAGUCGAGCGUAACUAUGGGGGUGGAGUGGUAGUUGCGAGUAACAAGUACUCGUACUCGUACUUGUACUCUGAUUGUGUCUGCUUAUGGUGAUUACUCAUCCAUCCGACUCCAGUCUCUCUCUUUCUCUGUGAUCUCAUCAUGAACCGUUGGCAACUCUGAUCGAUGCUAAAGCAAGACUAAACAAGACUUAAACCGAAAGGCGAUUAGAAUACAUCCCUCACCGUGGAGUAGCGGUCUAGCCAUAGCUGAUUCGGCUAUCGGUGACCAUGGAUCCAGAACGAGUACUGGUUCAACACUCGCACCUCUAAACCAAUUGAACAUGUUGGCACCGUCACUUCACCAAAGACGAUCAGAAACGUUACUAGAACUACAAGUACUCUGUACAUUCUUGUUGCUCUCCCUGAAUGUCUCUCUUUUCUCUUCUCUGAGGAACUUUGCUUUUACUGAACCCAGACGAGGCAUCUCCGGCACGAUGAGACAUCUAGGAAGACCUAUUCUUGUCUGAAUGGCGCCAAAAGAAGAAAGAGGAUUCAAAGAGAAGGCAUAUUGCUGUGAGUCAGCAUCAGAGCACGAGUUGGCCAGAUUGUGGAAUGGGAGAAGGGUUUCGCACUCGUAGUGAGUAUGAAAAAAUGGUACCAAAACGAUCGCCUAUUUACAACCAGUCGAAUGGUACCAUUUUCGAAGCUAUUAGCGUGAUGGAGGUCAAUUAUUAUGGAGCAGGGACUAAAGGUAGAAUCAAAGGUUGGUAAUUGGACUUUCUUGGACUGUUCAGAAUGCCAACAGAAUGUCUCCGAGACGACUUGUCUCCAAAACUAGUUCUGGUGUUCUGCUGAGUCAGCUGUGGGUGCAAUGAGAACCCAUAGACUCAGAAACGUUUGGACCAUUGAUUCCACACAACUGCGAACCACAUAAUCUAAUGAACACUUCUCGUUUCACUU